rnacentral:rRNA from 1 species
UACGGGGGGGGCAAGCGUUGUUCGGAAUUACUGGGCGUAAAGGGCUCGUAGGCGGCCAACUAAGUCAGACGUGAAAUCCCUCGGCUUAACCGGGGAACUGCGUCUGAUACUGGAUGGCUAGAGGUUGGGAGAGGGAUGCGGAAUUCCAGGUGUAGCGGUGAAAUGCGCAGAUAUCAGGAAGAACACCCGUGGCGAAGGCGGCUCUCUGGGACGGUACUGACGCUGAGACGCGAAAGCGUGGGGAGCGAACAGG